GGGGGCAUAGCUCAGUUGGGAGAGCAGCAGACUGAAGUUGUCCAUUAUUCUGAAGGUCCCGCGUUCAAUCCGCGGUGCCCCCA